CAGAGGGCUUUGCAAACUGGAAGAAAGAACAAGACAAAAGCACAGAUGAGAUAGGAAAGAGCUUUGCCCCAUAUUCCUGCAGCCAACCCACUUGCAAAGAGUAUUUCCAAGGCUUGUUAUUCCCAUGCAAGAUCCCAGCAACAGUACAGAACUCACUGAAGAUGUGUGAUAUGGAAUCACUUCCCCAGCAGACUGAUCCUGCCCCCAGAAACUUGCCAUUAAAGGUAAUCCCUGGAAAGCUGAAGGUACAGAACCCACGAAGAAACAGCACAGCUCAUCAACACAGGAGCCAGGACUAUGAGAUUUCCAAGGCCAAGGCACCAGUGCAUAACAGUAAGCUACUAUUCUUGCAUUACAUCCUGGUAACUACUGGCUGCUGGAAAAAGGAAGAUG
ensembl:lncRNA